rnacentral:misc_RNA from 1 species
UACGUAGGGGGCAAGCGUUGUCCGGAAUCAUUGGGCGUAAAGCGCGUGUAGGCGGUCCGGUAAGUCUGCUGUGAAAGUCGGGGGCUCAACCCUCGAAUGCCGGUGGAUACUGUCGGGCUAGAGUGCGGAAGAGGCGAGUGGAAUUCCUGGUGUAGCGGUGAAAUGCGCAGAUAUCAGGAGGAACACCUAUUGCGAAGGCAGCUCGCUGGGACGUGACUGACGCUGAGACGCGAAAGCGUGGGGAGCAAACAGG